rnacentral:rRNA from 1 species
UACGUAGGGACCGAGCGUUGUCCGGAAUCAUUGGGCGUAAAAGAGCGUGUAGGCGGCUAGGUAGGUCCGUUGUGAAAACUCGAGGCUCAACCUCGAGACGUCGAUGGAAACCAUCUAGCUAGAGUCCGGAAGAGGAGAGUGGAAUUCCUGGUGUAGCGGUGAAAUGCGCAGAUAUCAGGAAGAACACCCGUGGCGAAGGCGGCUCUCUGGUACGUGACUGACGCUGAGACGCGAAAGCGUGGGGAGCGAACAGG